rnacentral:rRNA from 1 species
UACGAGGGGGGCGAGCGUUGUUCGGAAUUAUUGGGCGUAAAGGGCGCGUAGGUGGCGGGACAAGCGUGCGGUGAAAGCUCGGGGCUCAACCCCGAGUCGGCCGUGCGAACUGUUUUGCUUGAGCACUGUAGAGGCAGGCGGAAUCCCGGGUGUAGCGGUGGAAUGCGUAGAGAUCCGGAAGAACACCGGUGGCGAAGGCGGCCUGCUGGGCAGUAGCUGACACUGAGGCGCGACAGCGUGGGGAGCAAACAGG